AGUAGACCAGAAAAAUGUAGCCUCUGUGUGUGUGUGUGUGUGUGUGUGUGGGUGGGUGUGUGAGAGAGACAGUGUGAUAAAGUGUUAAACCUUUGGUCUGGCAUUAUCUCGGUAAGCCACAGAAGCCAUCGCUGAGAAAAAAAAAAAAGUUUCUGGAUGGGAGUCUCCAGUGUCAGCACUUUGUGUCAGUCAGUAAAUUUUCAGAAAUAGGAAAUGUCUUCACGGUGGAGGUUUCUUGGUAACUUGACAAUCUGUCUUAACUUCAAGAGGGGAAAAAAGGAGAUGCUGGUAUUUCCCUUUUAUCCCCAGAGUUCCCUGGAUAGGCUCUGGAUUUACUCCGACCCUGAUCAAGAUAAAACACUUAGCAACACAUACAGCUGUAUAAUCUCAAUAGUUUCCACCUAAACUACAAUAAACAGCCAAAAGUAUGCGGACACCUGACCAUCACACAUAAAUAUGGUUCUUCCCCAGACUGUUGCCACAAAGUUGGAAGCACACAAUCGUAUAAAAAGUUUUUGAAUGCUGUAGCAUUACAAUUUCCCUUCCCUGGAACUAAGAGGCCCAAACCUGUUCCAGCAUGACAAUGUGCACAAAGCAAGCUCUGUGAAGACUGGGUUUGCCAAGUUUGCCCUGACCUCAACCCUACUGAACACCUUUGGGAUGAAUUGGAAUGCAGACUGCUCACCAGACAUCACCUCCACACCCAACAUCAGUGCCUGACCUCACUAAUGCUAUUAUGGCUGAAUGAACACAAAGACACCGGAGAUGCCUUUCAUAAAUGCUAAUAAAUAAAUAAAUAAAUAAAUAAAUACACACAGCAUCAACAACCUUAA